rnacentral:rRNA from 1 species
CCUACGUGGGCUGCAGUGGGGAAUAUUGGACAAUGGGCGAAAGCCUGAUCCAGCCAUGCCGCGUGUGUGAAGAAGGCCUUCGGGUUGUAAAGCACUUUCAGUGGGGAAGAAAGCCUUGGGGCUAAUACCCUCGAGGAAGGACAUCACCCACAGAAGAAGCACCGGCUAACUCCGUGCCAGCAGCCGCGGUAAUACGGAGGGUGCGAGCGUUAAUCGGAAUUACUGGGCGUAAAGCGCGCGUAGGCGGUCUGAUAAGCCGGUUGUGAAAGCCCCGGGCUCAACCUGGGAACGGCAUCCGGAACUGUCAGGCUAGAGUGCAGGAGAGGAAGGUAGAAUUCCCGGUGUAGCGGUGAAAUGCGUAGAGAUAGGGAGGAAUACCAGUGGCGAAGGCGGCCUUCUGGACUGACACUGACGCUGAGGUGCGAAAGCGUGGGUAGCAAACAGGAUUAGAUACCCCGGUAGUC